GCUCUUGGGUGACGAGUGGCGGACGGGUGAGUAAUGUCUGGGAAACUGCCCGAUGGAGGGGGAUAACUACUGGAAACGGUAGCUAAUACCGCAUAACGUCGCAAGACCAAAGUGGGGGACCUUCGGGCCUCACACCAUCGGAUGUGCCCAGAUGGGAUUAGCUAGUAGGUGGGGUAAUGGCUCACCUAGGCGACGAUCCCUAGCUGGUCUGAGAGGAUGACCAGCCACACUGGAACUGAGACACGGUCCAGACUCCUACGGGAGGCAGCAGUGGGGAAUAUUGCACAAUGGGCGCAAGCCUGAUGCAGCCAUGCCGCGUGUAUGAAGAAGGCCUUCGGGUUGUAAAGUACUUUCAGCGAGGAGGAAGGCAUUAAGGUUAAUAACCUUGGUGAUUGACGUUACUCGCAGAAGAAGCACCGGCUAACUCCGUGCCAGCAGCCGCGGUAAUACGGAGGGUGCAAGCGUUAAUCGGAAUUACUGGGCGUAAAGCGCACGCAGGCGGUCUGUCAAGUCGGAUGUGAAAUCCCCGGGCUCAACCUGGGAACUGCAUUCGAAACUGGCAGGCUAGAGUCUUGUAGAGGGGGGUAGAAUUCCAGGUGUAGCGGUGAAAUGCGUAGAGAUCUGGAGGAAUACCGGUGGCGAAGGCGGCCCCCUGGACAAA
rnacentral:rRNA from 1 species